UGCUAAGAUUUAGUGCCAGAACAUAACCCGAUUUAUCGUGAUCAACAAUGGACCAUGCAAUACGAUCUAAUGACCAUUUACUACUUGAAACGAUCAACCCGGUAGAUUCCAGUACUUGCUUCAAGAACAUAAAGAUUGUCGCCUUGUUCACGUAGUCCAAGAAAUCGUCCACAAUUUCCAGCUUUUAAUUUUUCGUGUUCUAAAUCAGUGAGAAAAAUGCCAAUAAAACUAUAUUUGAUAAAUGUUUAACUAAAACAACUUA